CGGGUGAGUAACGCGUGGGUAACCUGCCUCAUACAGGGGGAUAACAGUUAGAAAUGACUGCUAAUACCGCAUAAGACCACAGCACCGCAUGGUGCGGGGGUAAAAACUCCGGUGGUAUGAGAUGGACCCGCGUCUGAUUAGCUAGUUGGUAAGAUAACAGCCCACCAAGGCGACGAUCGGUAGCCGACCUGAGAGGGUGAUCGGCCACAUUGGAACUGAGAGACGGUCCAG
rnacentral:rRNA from 1 species